rnacentral:rRNA from 1 species
UCCCAGACUCCUACGGGAGGCAGCAGUGAGGAAUAUUGGUCAAUGGCCGGGAGGCUGAACCAGCCAAGUCGCGUGAGGGAAGACGGCCCUACGGGUUGUAAACCUCUUUUGUCAGGGAGCAAGGUGCAGGUCGGGACCUGCUGUGAGAGUACCUGAAGAAAAAGCAUCGGCUAACUCCGUGCCAGCAGCCGCGGUAAUACGGAGGAUGCGAGCGUUAUCCGGAUUUAUUGGGUUUAAAGGGUGCGCAGGCGGAGGCACAAGUCAGCGGUAAAAUCGGGGGGCUCAGCCCCGCGCCGCCGUUGAAACUGUGUCCCUUGAGUGCGCGAAGGGUAGGCGGAAUGCGUGGUGUAGCGGUGAAAUGCAUAGAUAUCACGCAGAACUCCGAUUGCGAAGGCAGCGUACCGGCGCCAGACUGACGCUGAGGCACGAAAGCGUGGGGAUCGAACAGGAUUAGAUGCCCCAGUA